CCUGCCCCUAGAGCAUUGCAGGUGUGGCUGCUGUGUCACAUGUGCUUCUACAGGUGGCAGGGAGGAAAGAAGUUAUGUCUGUGCUCAGUGUUCUGACCUGUGAGGAUCUGAAUGAUUAGUAUCCUAACAUU